UUGCUCCGGUGAUGUUUUGCACUGGGCUCUGAAUGAUUGUGGAGACAGAAGUGCAGCUCCGCUCCUGACAUGGCGGAGUCUGAGGAGACG